rnacentral:rRNA from 1 species
AUUGAACGCUGGCGGCAUGCUUUACACAUGCAAGUCGAACGGUAACAGGGAGCUUGCUCCGCUGACGAGUGGCGAACGGGUGAGUAAUGCGUCGGAACGUGCCGAGUAGUGGGGGAUAACGCAUCGAAAGGUGUGCUAAUACCGCAUACGUACUGAGAUAGAAAGUGGGGGACCUUCGGGCCUCACGCUAUUCGAGCGGCCGACGUCUGAUUAGCUAGUUGGUGAGGUAAAGGCUCGCCAAGGCGACGAUCAGUAGCGGGUCUGAGAGGAUGAUCCGCCACACUGGGACUGAGACACGGCCCAGACUCCUACGGGAGGCAGCAGUGGGGAAUUUUGGACAAUGGGCGCAAGCCUGAUCCAGCCAUGCCGCGUGUCUGAAGAAGGCCUUCGGGUUGUAAAGGACUUUUGUCCGGGAGCAAAUGCCUGGUGUUAAUAGCACUGGGAGCUGGGAGUACCGGAAGAAUAAGCACCGGCUAACUACGUGCCAGCCGCCGCGGUAAGAC